AUACUUACCUGGCAGGGGAGAUACCACGAUCACGAAGGUGGUUUUCCCAGGGCGAGGCUUAUCCCUUGUACCUUUUGCUUCCCUACCUCACCGCCCUAAGCACUGACCCUGAAGGUGUUAAUCACAGAUUUAGUCAGAAGGGCUCAGGAAGCCACUGACAGCAAGAAUGGC